GAUGAACGCUGGCGGCGUGCCUAAUACAUGCAAGUCGAGCGAACAGACGAGGAGCUUGCUCCUCUGACGUUAGCGGCGGACGGGUGAGUAACACGUGAAUAACCUACCUAUAAGACUGGGAUAACUUCGGGAAACCGGAGCUAAUACCGGAUAACAUGUUGAACCGCAUGGUUCAACAGUGAAAGACGGUCUUGCUGUCACUUAUAGAUGGAUCCGCGCCGCAUUAGCUAGUUGGUAAGGUAACGGCUUACCAAGGCAACGAUGCGUAGCCGACCUGAGAGGGUGAUCGGCCACACUGGAACUGAGACACGGUCCAGACUCCUAAGGGAGGCAGCAGUAGGGAAUCUUCCGCAAUGGGCGAAAUCCUGACGGAGCAACGCCGCGUGAGUGAAGAAGGUCUUCGGAUCGUAAAACUCUGUUAUUAGGGAAGAACAAAUGUGUAAGUAACUAUGCACGUCUUGACGGUACCUAAUCAGAAAGCCACGGCUAACUACGUG
rnacentral:rRNA from 1 species